AUUUAUGCCUCUUUUAAACUCUAAUCCUAAAAUACAUAUUUAGUUGUGCUAACAAAAAAAAGAAAAUCUUUUUUUCCUUGCUGCAAACAAUCGGCUGUGGGAAAACAAAAUCUGUUUCUCCCAGUCUUUUCUUUUCCACGUAUCAAACUCUCCCUUGCACGGCGGACGGCGCUAGAUAUUUUCCUUGUGCUCAUCCACUCAUCGCUCCCAUCCGAUAUUUUUGCCGUACGCAGGUUCUUCAAGCGGCGCCUGAGCUCAUCUUCUUCUUUAUCCCCGUCGCUCCUCUGCUCAGCAUUUUUCUCUCGUCAUCGCGCGUGGACAUUUGCUGUGGGCACAGCUCGCCGGUUGCCGCCGCUCAGCUUCAGAAAUAUCCCGCUGCCGUUCGGUGGUAUUUAUCUCCCCAGCUCGCUCGCUCCAGGCCUUCCCCUGCCGACGCGCCUAUUCCCUGGCCGAAGCCACCUGGUCCCAGGUCCGGUCGGCCGGCUCAGUUUUUUUUCCAGUACCGCGCGUCGUGCUUCCCCUUCCAGCCGACCGAAGCUCCCAGCUCUAGCCAUGGCGCGUCCGGUUCCCUCUCCCAUGGCUCCCUGUCCGACCGGCCGAGAUCCCUCCAUGGCCGCGAGCUCAGCCCCUGCUAUGCUCU
rnacentral:lncRNA from 7 species